UUUCAUCAAAACUAAUCUAGCGAUUUGUAGUCGAAGCCCACGAGAAGUGUAUACUUAAUUGAUAAUUAGCGGAAUCUAACAUUUUAAAGAUAUUUCAAGUUCGCUUUUGUCAGUUAGUUCCAUCCAUUGUUAGUAACCGGUUCAACUGUUAAGUAAAACAUGUUAGGGGCUCAAGCGGUUCUAUGGGCGCUGGUUGCAUUGGUUUCGUACCUACUGAUUCAGGGCUUCCGAUUCCGAAAGGUUCUGAGCCACAUUCCUUCUCCACCCGGUCAUUGGUUGAUAGGAAAUUUAGAAUUUCUCAUGAGAAAUCCAUAUCCCGGUAAGAUUUUUGAGUAUCUUCGAGACUGUGCGCAAAGAUAUGGGCCGAUUUAUCGGUUCUCUACUCUGCACAUCGUGGUGAUCAACUUGCUCCAUCCUGAUGACAUGGAGUUGGUUCUCUCCCAAAUGAAACAUAUGAAGAAAAGCCGCCUUUACAAGUUCCUAGGCAGGUGGCUGGGGGAAGGUUUGCUCACUAGCUCAGGCCAGAAAUGGCAAAAAAGGCGUAAACUGCUUACCCCCGCUUUUCACUUCAACGUCCUCCAAAAAUUCCUGGAUAUUUUCAACGAGGAGACCAGCAAUAUGGUGAAACAGAUCGAAGAAAUGAACGCGCAGAGCCUUGGUGGGAAGCCGUUGAUCAACUUGAUGCCCAUAGUCACUAACCUGACCCUUCAAUCGAUAACCGAAACCGCAUUGGGGGUUAGCAGUGUGGAGGAGGAUACUAUGAAGAGUUACAGAAGCAACAUCCACAAAAUGGGCCAGUUUGUCUUCGGCCGGGUGACUAAACCUUGGAGCCUGAUCCCUCUGGUCUACUCCCUGUCUAAUGACUAUGAAAAGGAGUCAGAGACCAUCCACAGCCUGCACCAGUUCACCUACAGAGUGAUGAAGGAAAGGGAGAAGCAGCUGGUAGAUGGACGCGAUGAACAAGUGGUGUCCACCACAUACUCGGGCAGAAAGAUUAUGAAGAUGCUGGACUUGCUGCUGUACGCCAAAAUCAACGAAGGCACCAUUGACUAUGAAGGAAUUCGUGAAGAAGUUGACACGUUUAUGUUUGAGGGUCACGAUACAACGGCAGCAGCCAUUACUUUCCUGUUGUAUGCGCUGGCUGAACAUCCGGAUAUUCAGGAAAAUGUGCGCAAAGAAAUCCAGUCCAACAUCACGCCAACUCGGACACCGACCUACCACGACCUGCAAGACCUGCCCUAUACAGAAAGGGUGAUCAAAGAGAGCCUGCGGCUUUACCCCAGCGUGCCUCUAAUAACCAGAGAGGCAAGUGAGGACUUUCUAUCUCAUACAGGCAGCAAGAUCCCCAAAGGAACCGUUUUGUACCUGCACAUAUUUGAUCUGCACCGGAACCCGGAUAUAUAUCCAGAUCCGCAGCGAUUCGACCCUGACAGAUUUCUACCGGAAAACUGCGCCAACCGACACCCUUUUGCCUACUUACCUUUCAGCGCUGGACCGAGAAAUUGCAUAGGGCAAAAAUUUGCCAUCUUGGAAAUCAAAGCGGUCAUUGUGGGCCUCCUGAGGAAGUUCCGGCUGGAGCCCUCAGGCUGUGCGCCGCCCAGCUUUUUCGUGGACUUAAUCCUGCGACCAGAGGGGCCCAUCAACGUUAAAUUCGUCCCAAUAUAAGAGCGCAAUAAUAGAGCAGCCAAAACAUCUGAGGAUUUAUUUAUUGUUCAACAAUUGCUAUAUUAUCUAAUAGCGUUUACAUAAUAUUAUCUUCUAAAGUUAGCUCUAACUCUGGAGGAACAACACUGUACAGACAUUUAAAAGUUAAAUGCGUCGUCGGGUAGAUGGGAGGCAAGGAUCAUCACAAUGGGGGAGAAGCAGAGGACUUGGAACAGUUAACAAUAAAGGCCAUCUAGAUGCAGGGCAGCGGCAAAGUGUUGAGAGCAUUUACUAGAUAAGCGCUAGACCCACUAACUUGACUAUGGUUUCGCACACGCCCGCCUGCUGUGUACGUACACAAAAAACGCGACGUUUCGGCUUAGUUAUUUCGUCCCCUUCAGAACUUUUAUGACCAAUUCCCCACCAAGACGAGCAGAAGAAAAUUGUUAUGCACAAAAAAGUAGCUCGAGAUUAAUUCUAAGCCUACUAAGUGAAUUUUAAGUGAAAACAAAUUUCAUUUAGUCUAGAAUAUGACUGUCAAAGUCUUUGACAGUUAAUUAGAGUUGGUUAGUUUAGUGUCAUUGCGACAAGAGUGGAAGGAGUAUUUUAAAUGUGUUCUUCGGAAAAAUUAGUGAUUUUUUACAAAAAAACUUGAUGGAAUACCACAGGAAGUUAAGUUGGUGAGUCAAAAAGUACCCUUGUUCACAAUUAAGGUCUACCAACUAUUUGCUUAUAAAGCUUCUGAUAAACUUGCAAAUUAACAACAGUUGA